GGGGGCGUAAUGGUUUCGACGGGGCUUUGAAGGUUUGAGUAGCGAGUCGUGCGAAUUCUCAGAACACGUUAAUCUAUGAGAAACUAAAUAUAAACGCAAACGAAAAUAAUUUAUUAGCUGCCUAAGCGCGGCUAUGUUCCCUCUAUGUCCUCCUGCCGACUAGAGCUGAACAUCAACUAUGCAGGGAACUGUAUUGUGGAUAUCCGGACACAGUACGGAACAAUUCGGAAGUAGUGAAACUUUAGCUUGUUAUUUGGGCGAUUGCGACACGAAUUUCAAAACAAAUAACUACACUCGUAGAAGCUUAGGCUGAAUUGGUUUCGGACAUGGGUUCGACUCCCAUCGUCUCCACCA
rfam:Filifactor alocis ATCC 35896, complete genome.